rnacentral:rRNA from 1 species
UUUAUGGAGAGUUUGAUCCUGGCUCAGGAUGAACGCUGGCGGCGUGCCUAAUACAUGCAAGUCGAGCGAACGGACGAGAAGCUUGCUUCUCUGAUGUUAGCGGCGGACGGGUGAGUAACACGUGGAUAACCUACCUAUAAGACUGGGAUAACUUCGGGAAACCGGAGCUAAUACCGGAUAAUAUUUUGAACCGCAUGGUUCAAAAGUGAAAGGCGGUCUUGCUGUCACUUAUAGAUGGAUCUGCGCUGCAUUAGCUAGUUGGUAAGGUAACGGCUUACCAAGGCAACGAUGCAUAGCCGACCUGAGAGGGUGAUCGGCCACACUGGAACUGA